CCCUACGGGAGGCAGCAGUAGGGAAUAUUGCGCAAUGGACGAAAGUCUGACGCAGCGACACCGUGUGAAGGAUGAAGGUCCUCGGAUCGUAAACUUCUGUCAAUUGGAGACGAAGGUACUUAGGGUUAAUAGCCUUAAGUAUUGACGGUACCCAAUAAGGAAGUCUCGGCUUACUCCGUGCCAGCAGCCGCGGUAAGACGGGGGAGGCAAGCGUUGUCCGGAAUUAUUGGGCGUAAAGAGCGCGUAGGUGGUUUAUCAAGUCAUUUGUGAAAACUUUAGGCUUAACUUAAAGAUUGCAAGUGAUACUGGUAUACUUGAGCACAGCAGAGGAAAGUGGAAUUCCUGGUGUAGCGGUGAAAUGCGCAGAUAUCAGGAAGAACACCAGUGGCGAAGGCGGCUUUCUGGGCUGUUGCUGACACUGAGGCGCGAAAGCUAGGGGAGCGAACAGGAUUAGAUACCCUGGUAGUCUUAGCUGUAAACGAUGGACACUAGGUGUGGGGGGUUAUCGACGCCUUCCGUGCCGAAGCUAACGCAUUAAGUGUCCCGCCUGGGGAGUACGGCCGCAAGGCUAAAACUCAAAGGAAUUGACGG
rnacentral:rRNA from 1 species